GAUGAACGCUAGCGGGAGGCCUAACACAUGCAAGCCGAGCGGUAUAGAAUCUUUGGAUUUUAGAGAGCGGCGUACGGGUGCGGAACACGUGUGCAACCUACCUUUAUCUGGAGGAUAGCCUUUCGAAAGGAAGAUUAAUACUCCAUAAUAUAUUGAUUGGCAUCAAUUAAUAUUGAAAGCUCCGGCGGAUAGAGAUGGGCACGCGCAAGAUUAGUUAGUUGGUGAGGUAACGGCUCACCAAGACGAUGAUCUUUAGGGGGCCUGAGAGGUGAUCCCCACACUGGUACUGAGACACGGACCAGACUCCUACGGGAGGCAGCAGUGAGGAAUAUUGGUCAAAUGGGGUGCAAGCCUGAUCCAGCCAUCCCGCGUGAAGGACGACUGCCCUAUGGGUUGUAAACUUCUUUUGUAUAGGGAUAAACCUCUCCUCGUGAGGAGAGCUGAAGGUACUAUACGAAUAAGCACCGGCUAACUCCGUGCCAGCAGCCGCGUAA
rnacentral:rRNA from 1 species